ACCCAGUUCAUCUCCUGUGUGGUUGAUGGUUGGACUGGUUUGUGGAGUCUCUCUCAUUAUUAUUCUCCUGCUCUUGUUGUAUCGCUGCAGACAGUCCAAGUGUAAGAGCCUCUUCUUUUCAUGCUGUAUUAGAGAGUUUAUUUACUACAUACACUUUAAUUAUUCACACAUAUACAUGUAUUCUGAUCUCAUGACACUAAAUAUCAGUGGAACAAUUUAUACAUGACAAACAUGUGUAAUAACAUUUGUCUCUUUCACAGAUUCCUGCUUCACCAGGUCGAUCCAGUCUGAGAGUCACAGUCCGGGCUCCUCCACAAAUCAUGGAGUCAACCAGGAUGAAACUCAUGUGUACGACUCUCCUCAUCCUGGAUCAGAUGAACAUCAAGAUGUCACAUACGCUCUUAUUGAACUUAAAAACUUUGAAAAGAAGAGGAAGCAUCAUAAACCAGAGCAGAGUGCUGUUUACUCUGAGGUGAAGACGGGAGCUGCAGAGGACAGUCUGAUGUAUGCUGAGGUCAAAGCCCCC